AACUGCUUCCCCAUCAGUGGGUUCAAGUAAAACUUCAAUGAGCAGUUCAGUGGCUUAUUCUGCUACUUAUUCCAUAACAACGUCCACCACAAUUAAAAGCACUGUGCAGCCGCUUUCUACGAUAACACCCUCACCGUUUGCUGCCCCUUUCAAAGUGGGAAACUGCACUUUAUCGAAGUGUCCUAAGGAAUCUAACUGCACAAUCAACCCGCAACUUGUCGCACCUAAUGGCACAUUUUAUCCAGGUAAAUUGAUACACAUCUUCAAAAUACGAAUUUAGAUUGAAUCGAUUCUAAUCCAGUGCCAUCAAGCGUUGGUAGAUACGCACAAGCAUGCAAAACAACUUUAUUCGUUAGCAGGUUCAUGUUGACAAAUUUUGAAGCAAAGGAUUAUUGCUGCAGUUUGGGAAUGGUAUUAAUGGCAUUGCACGAUAUGACAAAAAAAGAUUGCUUCCUCAAUUAUUACACCCAAGCUAAUUUCUCGCCUGUAGAUUAUUUCUUUGUGGAUGGAGUAGAUACGUCUUGUAGUGACAAGAUAGGCUGGUGCCACGCGAAAAUUCUUACUGAUUGGAAAACAGCACCAUGGUGUGCUCAGGAACCGAAUUAUUUCAACGGGACUGAUAACUGCAUUGGUCUGAAAGUAAACAGAAACUCACUGUGGCCUCCAGCUCUGGCCGCGUCUUGUAUAUUGGAUGAAAAUUGCUUCUAUCAGAGAUACUUCAUUUGCGAAAUUCCCUGAAAAUUGCGUUGUGAGUGAAUUUUCUGUUGUUUUUGGAUUAAAAUUGGUUUUUAAAUUGUGAAAAAUGUUUUUUGUGCAAUACUUGAGUGAUUAUGCGUGAAAUAUGACACUUUAACCAAUUGAUUAAUGUUUAAAUUUGUUG